AGUCAAUGGUCCCGUUUUCUCCUAGAUCUGGAUCUGUUGCUGUGUUGAUCGGGAACUCGAUCCCUACUGCUGUGGUUUCAAGUACUGGAAAUGAAAACGCUGGCGCUGGAAACGAUGUACGUGGAACGUCGUAACAGCCCCACAAAGCCAGAAAAUGCUCGAAAAAUAGUAAGAGAAUAGUAACCAUGCAGGAAUCGUGUGUGUCCAUGUUGUUCUCCACAAUCGCCUUGUUCGCAGUCUCGACUUUCCCUGACUACCCAUAGCUUAUACGUCCAUGGGUUUGGUUACAACAAGCUGAAGACAUAUUUAAAACAAAGAAUCGAGAUGUAGGAUGGUAUUCCUGGUCAUAUUUACUGCAGUAUAAGCUCUCCUUUAGUAAAUGAGCCGUUGAAGCGUUGCAUUGUCAAGCGUUUGUUUAAAUUACCGAGAAGAAUCACAUUCUGCAUUCAAGUCAAAUUAAUAGUAUUUUUUCCUUGGCUUCUGUUCUAGGCGAGCCAAAAUGUUGUACAGCUGUUUCCCCUGUGUUUAAAAUCAAAACAUCACCGAUUUAGGACAAUUUUAAACUGUAUUUUUCUUUUUAACGUUGUACUUAUUUUAUGCAAAUCAUGUCGAAUAAAAGAACAACCGGAAAAGAA